rnacentral:tRNA from 1 species
GCCCGAAUAGCUCAGUGGUAGAGCGUAUCACUCGUAAUGAUAAGGUCUGCGGUUCGAUCCCGCAUUUGGGCA